AAUAUACUCCCCCCGUCCGGAAAUACUUGUCCUAGGAAUGGAUGAAUCUAGAUUUAUUUUAGUUAUAGAUACAUCCAAUAUAUCCAUUUUUGGGACAAGUAUUUCCGGACGGAGGGAGUAUUAU
rnacentral:pre_miRNA from 1 species